GCCAGACUAGCUCCAACAGGGCAGAGCGGACUCCUAACAGGCUCAGCUGUUACACCUGUGCCAUGGCUGCAACCCUGUGCUCCUCUCGCCCAGGCACGGCACAGGCUCACCACGCAGGGAACACGCCUCUCACCCAGGCACGGCGCAGGCUCACCACUCAGGGAACACGCCUCUCGCCCAGGCACGGCGCAGGCUCACCACACAGGGAACACGCCUCUCGCCCAGGCACGGCGCAGGCUCACCACGCAGGGAACACGCCUCUCGCCCAGGCACGGCGCAGGCUCACCACGCAGGGAACACGCCUCUCGCCCAGGCACGGCGCAGGCUCACCACGCAGGGAACACGCCUCUCGCCCAGGCAUGGCGCAGGCUCACCACGCAGGGAACACGCCUCUCGCCCACAGCGCAGCCUUGAUCUCGCAGGUUCAAGCAACCCUCCUGCCUCCCAAAGUGUUGGAAUUACAGCUGUAAGCCACUGUGCGCAACCAACCUUUCUUCCUUUUAAUGUAUGCAUUUGAAGUUACACAUUUCCUCUAAACCCUGCUUCAGAUGCACCCCACACAUCUGGUCACUUAACGAGCAUACGGUCUCUGGGUGUUUUCCUGUCACUGAUUCCCACUUUAAUCCACUGUGGAGAUGCCUUGAGACUUGCUGUACGACCCAACGUGGAGUCCACUUUAAUAAACGCCCACUUGAACAGAU